AUCCUGGUGCUUUCCCACAAGAAGUUGCUCAAUGUGGCUACCAGGGAGGCCAAACAUAAGCCUGUGUCUGCAGACAGGAGGGCACCAACAAUGUGUCAAGCAACCUCAUCUGCAUCGUCACAAGCAUCUGCAGUGUGGAUAUCUGGUCAACAUGGUCGUUUGACAGUUGUGGAGCCCCUCCCACCAAUAAAGGUGAAGAACCUGAAGGAUCUGAGGCUGUGCCAGUACAUGCUGGAGAAAUACUUGACUGGACUCGGGAGUAGGAGCCUAGGCAUUGGCCCACAGAUGUGCUGUUCUCCUUCUUUGGAUACCCGUCGCAACAACACAAUCUUCUCUGUCUACUGGAGUUGUCUUGGUCAUGCCUAUUCUAGUGUGCUGCACUCAGUGAAGAAGUUGGAGUAAGCGUCAAAAGAGUGAAGGCCAAGCUCUGACUGUGACAGAGAGUUUGAGAUAGACAACUGAUGCUUUGAAAAACACGUGACUUCUCCCUGGGACCUCCAUCUACUGUAAAUAACCAACAACCUGUUCAAGGAUCAAUGUGCCUCUGAGAUGAGGACAACAAGUCUCCCCUUGCAAUCAGAAUGGACCAUCACUAUGGACCUCAUCUAUUAGAUGCAGGUUGUCUAGCAAGCCUCUGGACAGGCAGCAUGGCAGAAAUCAACUCUUUCCAAAAAAAAGGCUGCUGCUGACACAGUGGAUAGAGCACACACAAGCUCCCUGUCUGACUCCUUCAGCUCCUGCAUGUCUCCUUGGCUAACAUUUCAGAGCUUCUGAUUCUUCAGACAUCAGCUUCUUGAUACUGAAGAGAUUGUUCUACCUGAUGAGCCCAGGCCUAGAAGAUGGACUGCAUCCAAGAAGCCUGGUCCAUCUAAGGCCAAGUCACAUCUUUAAGAAAUAUUUGAAAGCAUUUGUGCACAGGAUAAAGGUGCAAGGACCAAAGUCUCCUUAGACUUUCCAGCAUACAGAGGGUCUGACAGACUCAGGUCAAAGGUUACGUCUGAAGCCUAGAUCAUGAAGAAGGCCCCACUCCACAGUAGAAGCCUGUGGCUGAUGCUGUUGCAACCAGGAC
ensembl:lncRNA